rnacentral:rRNA from 1 species
UACGAAGGGAGCUAGCGUUGUUCGGAAUCACUGGGCGUAAAGCGCACGUAGGCGGAUGUGUCAGUCAGGGGUGAAAUCCCGGAGCUCAACUUCGGAACUGCCUCUGAUACAGCACGUCUUGAGUCCGAUAGAGGUGGGGUGGAAUUCCUAGUGUAGAGGUGAAAAUUCGUAGAUAUUAGGAAAGAACACCGGUGGCGAAGGGCGGCCCACUGGAUCGGUACUGACGCUGAGGUGCGAAAGCGUGGGGGAGCAAAACAGGA